GCUUGUACCAGCUGAUCUGCUCCGCGGCUUUGCCCCAGAACCUCUCGGGGUCGGCCACCGAGGCCGCGAAGUGGGUCUUGUACUCGCAGCCGCCCGAGGACAGCGCCCGGCAGCCCCGGCCCCCGAGAGCGCCCCGUUGGCCGGGGGCCACGUACGCCCUGCGGGCCGGGCCGGCUCCCCGGGCGGGAGAGGACGCGGGCAGGGACCCCCCGAGUCCCCCGGCGCCGGUGACUUUGCGACACUGCAGCCAAGAUGGCUUCAUCGCUGCCGUUGGCGCCCCCCUGCAGGCUGCGCUGCCCGCCGUCCCGAGCCCACUCCUCGGGCGACCCCUGGGGCGCUCGCGACUUCCUGGAGCCCGAGGGGAGCAGGCAGGAGGCGGGGGCAAAUUCCGAGGUGUGCCCAGAGCCCGGGAGUUUGGAAGUCACACUGGAGUCGCCGGGAAAAACCGACCUGGAGCGGCGGGGGAAGCCACAGGCUGCAGCGGGGGCAGGGAGGGGGGCGCACAGCGUCCCCGCGCCGGGCGAGAGCGGCGCCGCGCGAAACCCGACGCCUCUGCGCGUCUCCAGCUCCGCGACUUCGCCUGGAAAACCGCCCUCAGGCUGCAGAGCGGCCUCCCUUCUCCGACGCACAGGUACCCCUAAGAAACCUCACUGAAAAAGAAAGUACGGUGGUGGUGGCGGUGGUGGUGAUGGUAAACACCCAGAAGAACAAAGAGAACAGGAGAGGACAAGAAAACAAGUGAGAGAAUGGAAAGAAAAUGAAUUCAUGUAAUUACAAUAAAGGCAAGGAGAAAAAGGCGGAUGAAAGAAUUGUUUUAAAACAAAUAACAUUCCAGUGGAUGGGAAGAACUCUACAACUUCAGUUCAUUCUAGCAACCAAAUAUAAGACAAACUUCGGUACAAUGUGGGAGGAGACUAUACAAGGGUGUGAAUAGGAAGAGUCUGGAUGAUUGGGGACCAUCUUGGAGGCUGGCUGCCAAAAGUGAGAAAACUGAGAUUCAGAGAAGGAAGGUAACUUCCCCAAGGAUCCACAGCUGACAGGCAUAAAUCAACAAGUAUGCUGCAUAAGAAAACGUUCACCUGGGGAGUGAGAUACCAGUGUUGACUUCUAAUUUGUGGUGGUGGCACUCCUUGAGGUCUUCUCUCUUGGAUUUGAAACUGAAGGAUCUAGAUAUCACUUCUCCCUGACCCCCUAAAGAGCCAGCUCAUGAUACUGAAUCAGUGAAAUUCUUCAGCUUUGACUUUGAAUCUGCAAAGAUGCAGUCUACAGUAGAACAUAAUCUCCAGGCCAAAGAGGAAGACAAAUUCAAAAAGAAUAAUUUUACGAAUAUAUCACAACAACUGUG